rnacentral:lncRNA from 1 species
GUGUUUUUAUUUCUGAUAUGACAUUGGGAAGGUAUAAAACUUUAUAAGUUGAACAAAUGUCUUAAACUGUCCAGUUGGCGACGGCCGUAUUAUGCGCUCAUGACGCAGCUCUUUAUUGAAAUAACCGAUAGGUAUUUUUAAAACACCUUAAAAUUGUGACAUUGAUUAUAAAAAGAAAGACACUUAGAACUUACUACGGGGCUCGUUUGGCACUUUUUACAGAGAUUAUCCAC